GCUUGGUCCUGACUUUAACGUCAGCUCUGAUUAAAUUUAUACAUGCAAGUCUCUGCGCCCCUGUGAGAAUGCCCUGCUGCCACCAUAUUGCGGUGGAAAGGAGCUGGCAUCAGGCACAACCCUACAGUUAGCCCAUGACGCCUUGCUUAACCACACCCCCACGGGAACCCAGCAGUAAUAGACAUUAAGCUAUAAGUGUAAACUUGACUUAGUUAAUAUCAAGAGGGCCGGUAAAACUCGUGCCAGCCACCGCGGUUAUACGAGAGGCCCAAGUUGACGUCACACGGCGUAAAGAGUGGUUAAUGAAUUACUACACUAAAGUCGAACACCUUCCAGGCUGUUAUACGCUCCUGAAGGCAGGAAGAUCUGCCACGAAAGUGACUUUAAUAUACAUGACCCCACGAAAACUAGGAAACAAACUGGGAUUAGAUACCCCACUAUGCCUAGCCGUAAACAUAAACAGCCUGUCACCCCGCUGUUCGCCCGGGUACUACAAGCCCUAGCUUAAAACCCAAAGGACUUGGCGGUGCUUUAGACCCCCCUAGAGGAGCCUGUUCUAGAAUCGAUAAUCCCCGUUCCACCUCACCCUCUCUUGUUCUCCCCGCCUAUAUACCGCCGUCGUCAGCUUACCUUGUGAAAGAUGAAUAGUAAGCAAAAUUGGCAGAGCCCAAAACGUCAGGUCAAGGUGUAGCGUAUGAGAGGGAAAGCAAUGGGCUACAUUUACUGUCCCAGUAAACACGGAUCUUGCAGUGAAACGAGCAUCUGAAGGAGGAUUUAGCAGUAAGAGGGGACUAUGAGAGCCCCCCUGAAAACGGCCCUGAAGCGCGCACACACCGCCCGUCACUCUCCCCACCGGACCCCUGCACAUAAAUAAUACCUGUUCACCACAAAGGGGAGGCAAGUCGUAACAUGGUAAGCGUACCGGAAGGUGCGCUUGGAAAAACC
rnacentral:rRNA from 1 species